rnacentral:lncRNA from 1 species
GCCUUGUUGAACCUGGAGUCGGCGUUGCAGGACGUGGUUAGAGUUAAGCUUGACAGUUGCUGGUUAGCGCGUGCGUGUGUGCGUCGUGUUGUGUGCGUGUUCGAGCCUGGUGUGUGUCAUGGGCGCAGCUGUGUCGCGGCUGAUGAGCUUGGGGCUGGGGAUGCCAGCUUGGAUCGGCUAGGGCGGCAUGGUAGGUUGAGCGUGCACAUGCAGGGAGUGCGAUCCGAGUUAGUUGGAGUGGUGGCGCAGGAAUCGCUGACCGUUGGGCGCGUGCGGGUCGUGCGGACGAACGCGUCCUGCGGGCACGACGCAGCGCACAGGCGCGGACAUGGUGGGGAGCCGGGUGGUGGAAGGGAGCUCUGCCACGGCUAUAUGUACCACCACUCUCUGCUGUAAUCGUGCUCGGGGUGUCCAGGAAAUAAAGGCCAACAUACAGGCGAGGGAGAGCUUCUCGCCGGGGCGUUCGUCGGCCAUAUCCACUGUUCAUCUCCUUCCUCUCAGUGUUCUCUGCUUUCUAGGGUGUGAGCGCUCUUUCUUGAGUGAGAGGGUCCAACAUUUGGUACCAGAGCUAGGAUGGAGACGCCGCCGGCAAAGGAUGGCCUCAAGAUGUUCGACGGCAUGGGCUCGACGAGUGCCGCGAUGGAGCGCGUCAUCAACAGCAGCUCCGUUGAGCUCCCGCUGCUGACCAAGGCGAAUUACCACGAGUGGGCGUUGGUUAUGCAGGUCUCGCUGGAGGCGAUGGAACUGUGGGACGCGGUGGAGGCCGUGUGCAAGGAGCGUCCCAAGGAUCGGCGGGCAAUGGCCGCCAUCCUGCGCGGAGUGCCGCCGGAGAUGAAGGCGGGGCUCGCCGUGAAGAAGACGGCGAAAGAAGCGUGGGAGGCGGUGAGGUCGAUGAGGAUCGGCGAUGACCGGGUGAAGGCCGCGAGCGUGCAACGCUUGUGGAAAGAGUACGAGAACGUCGGUUUCUGUGAUGGUGAGAGCGUCGGCGACUUCGCGUUGCGGAUCAACGGCCUCGUCGCAAGCCUUCGAGAGAUGGGCGAGACGCUGGAGGACCACCGCGUCGUGAAGAAGAUCCUCCGCGUCGUCCCCAAACGUCUCAAGCAGGUGGCCGUGGCGAUCGAGAUGCUCACCGACCUCAACACGACGACGAUUGAAGAGCUCGUCGGCCGACUACGCGUUGCGGAGGACGCCGACGCGGACGACGCCAAGGCGAAGGAGGUCUCCACGGAGGGCGUCGGGCAGCUGUUGCUCACUGAGGCACAGUGGGAGGCGCGGCGUCGGGAACGGAACAAGCAGCGCAAGCCCCGUGACGGUGACAAGAGGCGCGGCAAUGGCGAUCGCGGCAACAACGGAGACGAUGAGCACAGCGACGGCGACGACGAUGCGAGCAGCAUGGCCUCGGGUUCAAGCCGGAGAGGCUGGAGCCGCAACAAGGGCCAGUGCUUCGAGUGCGGCGGCUAUGGUCACAUCGCCCGGUUCUGCCGUGAGAAGAAAAGAAAGGAGAAGGCGCUACUCGUCGACGUCGAGGAGCCGACGCUGCUGUAGGUCUAGAGUUCGCCGUGUCAAGCUUAGGGGGUGAUUGUUAGAGUUAAGCUUGACAGUUGCUGGUUAGCGCGUGCGUGUGUGCGUCGUGUUGUGUGCGUGUUCGAGCCUGGUGUGUGUCAUGGGCGCAGCUGUGUCGCGGCUGAUGAGCUUGGGGCUGGGGAUGCCAGCUUGGAUCGGCUAGGGCGGCAUGGUAGGUUGAGCGUGCACAUGCAGGGAGUGCGAUCCGAGUUAGUUGGAGUGGUGGCGCAGGAAUCGCUGACCGUUGGGCGCGUGCGGGUCGUGCGGACGAACGCGUCCUGCGGGCACGACGCAGCGCACAGGCGCGGACAUGGUGGGGAGCCGGGUGGUGGAAGGGAGCUCUGCCACGGCUAUAUGUACCACCACUCUCUGCUGUAAUCGUGCUCGGGGUGUCCAGGAAAUAAAGGCCAACAUACAGGCGAGGGAGAGCUUCUCGCCGGGGCGUUCGUCGGCCAUAUCCACUGUUCAUCUCCUUCCUCUCAGUGUUCUCUGCUUUCUAGGGUGUGAGCGCUCUUUCUUGAGUGAGAGGGUCCAACAUACACGGAGAGGAAGCCCUGGUGCACCACGGCCAAGGGGUUGGCGGCGGCGGCGGAGCCCAGCACGGGCACGGCCGACACCGG